GACGAACGCUGGCGGCAUGCCUAACACAUGCAAGUCGAACGGAGAUUAUUUCGAUAAUCUUAGUGGCGAACGGGUGAGUAACGCGUGGGCAACCUGCCCUCUAGAUGGGGACAACAUCCCGAAGGGGGUGCUAAUACCGAAUGUGACAGCAAUCUCGCAUGAGGAUGCUGUGAAAGAUGGCCUCUAUUUAUAAGCUAUCGCUAGAGGAUGGGCCUGCGUCUGAUUAGCUAGUUGGUGGGGUAACGGCCUACCAAGGCGAUGAUCAGUAGCCGGUCUGAGAGGAUGAACGGCCACAUUGGGACUGAGACACGGCCCAGACUCCUACGGGAGGCAGCAGUGGGGAAUCUUUCGCAAUGGGCGAAAGCCUGACGGAGCAAUGCCGCGUGAGUGAUGAAGGAAUUCGUUCCGUAAAGCUCUUUUGUUUAUGACGAAUGUGCAGGUUGUGAACAAUGAUCUGUAA
rnacentral:rRNA from 1 species